UCAGUUAGUCACUUGUUCAAGUGGCUACUAGCUCUGUUCAUAGCUUAUUUGGCCAUUGGAACAGGUUUAUGAUUUGUGCUUUGUGCUGGUUUUUCUUUUUCUUUUCUUUUCAUGAUAGUUUGGGCAAAUCAGCUCAUAGGGAGUUGCACUAACUUUUUGUUUGCAUGUAUUUGUAUUUUUAUUUCCCUUGACCUUGGCAAAUUUAAGGAUUCAAUUCAAGAGAAAAACUCCCUAAGUGAAGGUAACAUACUGUGAAUGAUUCAAUUUAGGCUUAAAGGGGUAGCAAAUCAAUG
rnacentral:lncRNA from 1 species